rnacentral:rRNA from 1 species
GAUGAACGCUGGCGGCGUGCCUAAUACAUGCAAGUCGAGCGAACAGACGAGGAGCUUGCUCCUCUGACGUUAGCGGCGGACGGGUGAGUGACACGUGGAUAACCUACCUAUAAGACUGGGAUAACUUCGGGAAACCGGAGCUAAUACCGGAUAACAUGUUGAACCGCAUGGUUCAACAGUGAAAGACGGUUUUGCUGUCACUUAUAGAUGGAUCCGCGCCGCAUUAGCUAGUUGGUAAGGUAACGGCUUACCAAGGCAACGAUGCGUAGCCGACCUGAGAGGGUGAUCGGCCACACUGGAACUGAGACACGGUCCAGACUCCUACGGGAGGCAGCAGUAGGGAAUCUUCCGCAAUGGGCGAAAGCCUGACGGAGCAACGCCGCGUGAGUGAAGAAGGUCUUCGGAUCGUAAAACUCUGUUAUUAGGGAAGAACAAAUGUGUAAGUAACUAUGCACGUCUUGACGGUACCUAAUCAGAAAGCCACGGCUAACUACGUG